rnacentral:rRNA from 1 species
UACGGAGGAUUCGAGCGUUAUCCGGAUUUAUUGGGUUUAAAGGGUCCGUAGGCGGUUCUUUAAGUCAGUGGUGAAAUCCCAGAGCUCAACUCUGGAACUGCCAUUGAAACUGAAGAACUUGAAUAUGGUUGAGGUAGGCGGAAUACGUUAUGUAGCGGUGAAAUGCAUAGAUAUAACGUAGAACACCAAUUGCGAAGGCAGCUUACUAAGCCAUUAUUGACGCUGAUGGACGAAAGCGUGGGGAGCGAACAGGAUUAGAUACCCUCGUA